rnacentral:rRNA from 1 species
UACGGAGGGUGCGAGCGUUAAUCGGAAUUACUGGGCGUAAAGCGCGCGUAGGCGGCUUGAUAAGCCGGUUGUGAAAGCCCCGGGCUCAACCUGGGAACCGCAUCCGGAACUGUCAGGCUAGAGUGCAGGAGAGGAAGGUAGAAUUCCCGGUGUAGCGGUGAAAUGCGUAGAGAUCGGGAGGAAUACCAGUGGCGAAGGCGGCCUUCUGGACUGACACUGACGCUGAGGUGCGAAAGCGCGGGUAGCGAACAGG